GUGGCUCAGUAAUAAAGCACAUGUCUAGUAAGCAUGAGGCUCUGGGUUCAAUCCCCAGC
rnacentral:tRNA from 1 species